GGCUGUGGCUCAGUGGCAGAGCGCUUGCCUAGCACAUGAGAGGCACUGGGUUUGAUCCUCAGCACCA
rnacentral:tRNA from 1 species